AUAACAAUACAGGACUCUUUCGAGGCCCUGUAAUUGGAAUGAGUACACUUUAAAUCCUUUAACGAGGAUCUGUUGGAGGGCAAGUCUGGUGCAGAGCUGAAACUCAACUAUCA